GCCCCUAUGGCGUAGUGGUAGCGCGUCGCACUUGUAUUAUACGACCUCAAGGUCAACAGUACAUGCGAAGGUCAUUCGUUCAAUCCGGGUUGGGGGCA